UGGGGGAUAUUGCACAAUGGGCGAAAGCCUGAUGCAGCGACGCCGCGUGGGGGAUGAAGGCCUUCGGGUUGUAAACUUCUUUUGCUCUGAACAAGGCAUGCCUUUGGGGUGUGUUGAGUGUAGGGUUUGAUUAGCGCCGGCUAACUACGUGCCAGCAGCCGCGGUAAUACGUAGGGCGCGAGCGUUGUCCGGAAUUAUUGGGCGUAAAGGGCUUGUAGGUGGCUGGUUGCGUCUGUCGUGAAAGCUCAUGGCUUAACUGUGGGUUUGCGGUGGGUACGGGCUGGCUUGAGUGCAGUAGGGGAGGCUGGAAUUCCUGGUGUAGCGGUGGAAUGCGCAGAUAUCAGGAGGAAUACCGGUGGCGAAGGCGGGUCUCUGGGCUGUUACUGACGCUGAGGAGCGAAAGCGUGGGGAGCGAACAGG
rnacentral:rRNA from 1 species